rnacentral:tRNA from 1 species
GCCACAUUAGCUCAGUUGGUCAGAGCAGUCCAAGAUACCGACAGGUCGCAGGUUCGAGUCCUGCAUGUGGCUCA